rnacentral:rRNA from 1 species
UACGUAGGGGGCAAGCGUUGUCCGGAAUCAUUGGGCGUAAAGAGCGUGUAGGCGGUUCGGUAAGUCGGCUGUGAAAGUCCAGGGCUCAACCCUGGGAUGCCGGUCGAUACUGCCGGACUAGAGUUCGGAAGAGGCGAGUGGAAUUCCCGGUGUAGCGGUGAAAUGCGCAGAUAUCGGGAGGAACACCUAUGGCGAAGGCAGCUCGCUGGGACGUUACUGACGCUGAGGCACGAAAGCGUGGGGAGCAAACAGG